rnacentral:rRNA from 1 species
GACGAACCGUGCGAACGUUGUUCGGAUUCACUGGGCUUAAAGGGCGCGUAGGCGGGCGGUCAAGUCGGGGGUGAAAUCUUUCCGCUUAACGGGAAGCGUGCCUCCGAUACUGAUCGCCUCGAGGGAGGUAGGGGCAUGUGGAACUUCCGGUGGAGCGGUGAAAUGCGUAGAGAUCGGAAAGAACACCAACGGCGAAAGCACUCUGCUGGGCCGACACUGACACUGAGAGACGAAAGCUAGGGGAGCGAAUGGG